CACGUAGGGCGCAAGCGUUGUCCGGAAUUAUUGGGCGUAAAGAGCUCGUAGGCGGUCUGUUGCGUCCGCUGUGAAAACUCGGGGCUUAACCCCGAGCCUGCAGUGGAUACGGGCAGACUAGAGGUAGGUAGGGGAGAAUGGAAUUCCCGGUGUAGCGGUGAAAUGCGCAGAUAUCAGGAGGAACACCGGUGGCGAAGGCGGGUCUCUGGGCCGUAACUGACGCUCAUGCACGAAAGCGUGGGGAGCAAACAGG
rnacentral:rRNA from 1 species